UACGGGGGGGAGCAAGCGUUGUUUCGGAUUUACUGGGCGUAAAGGGCGCGUAGGCGGCGUGACAAGUCACUUGUGAAAUCUCCGGGCUUAACUCGGAACGGUCAAGUGAUACUGUCGUGCUAGAGUACAGAAGGGGCAACUGGAAUUCUCGGUGUAGCGGUGAAAUGCGUAGAUAUCGAGAGGAACACCUGCGGCGAAGGCGGGUUGCUGGGCUGAUACUGACGCUGAGGCGCGAAAGCUAGGGGAGCGAACGGG
rnacentral:rRNA from 1 species